rnacentral:lncRNA from 1 species
AACAGCCUUCUAACGCAGUCGCCUGGUCCCGUUCUUACUCCUCUCCAAUUCAAUCUCUACAUUGUAGCCAAAACAAUCACUCCAAAGUGCAAAUCUGAACUUCACUUCCCUGCCUAAAACCUGUCACUGGCUUCUCACUCCCCUUAUUCUUUACAAGGUCUUCCAUGAGCUGAACUUACUCCUACCACUUUCCUCCUUCCACUCAAGCAUGCCCCAGUUGUGCUGAAAUUUUUACAGUUCCUCCAAGGUAACAUGCUUUCUCUUCAAAAAUGUUCCCUACACCUCCAACGUACACUCUGCUAUGGUUUUAAUGUGUCCCUUCGAAGGAUGCAGCAACAGGGUGCCAUCCUGGAAACACACAGUAUCCCUUUCCAGACAACUGAACCUAC